rnacentral:rRNA from 1 species
AGCGGCACAGCUCAAAUUUGAAAUCUGGCCUCUUGGGGUCCGAGUUGUAAUUUGUAGAGGAUGUUUCGGGUACCGCCUCGGUUUAAAUUUCUUGGAACAGAAUGUCAAAGAGGGUGAGAAUCCCGUCUUGGACCGGCGGUAGGGCCUAUGUGAAACUCCUUCGACGAGUCGAGUUGUUUGGGAAUGCAGCUCAAAAUGGGUGGUAAAUUUCAUCUAAAGCUAAAUAUUGGCCAGAGACCGAUAGCGCACAAGUAGAGUGAUCGAAAGAUGAAAAGCACUUUGAAAAGAGAGUUAAACAGUAUGUGAAAUUGUUGAAAGGGAAGCGCUUGCAACCAGACUUGAGCGCGGCGGUUCCCCCUUGCUUCUGCUUGGGUUACUCCGCCGUGUCCAGGCCAACAUCGGUUCUGGGGGUCGGUCAAAGGCUCUGGGAAUGUAUCUACCCACGGGUAGACUUAUAGACCAGGGUGUCAUGCGACCUCCCGGGACCGAGGAACGCGCUUCGGCUCGGAUGUUGGCGUAAUGGUUGUCAGCGACCC